GGCUGCUCCUCCUUGCUCGCGUAGUCUUGUGCUGUUUCGGGGGGGGGGGGGGGGGGGAGGCAGCCAGGCAGGGCAGUGCGGUGGCACGGAACGGGACAGCGCGGAGGGCGCGAAACGUCACGGAAGGAGUGGUCCGGUUCCCCGGCGGAUCGUCAUCGAUCAGCCUACGACCAGAAUGCUUUGCACAAAGGAAGGGGGUGCCAUGGCCCAGGUUGGCCUACAUGUAGCUCCGCCCAUGGUCGGAUGGCAUGGCAGACGGUGGGUGGAUGUUUCCUGUUAGUGUUAGUACUGGCACCAUCGUUUGUCCCUUCCAGGGCUUUUAUCAGACGCUUUUGACUCGCGCUCUGUCCUUGGCUUUCAGUUUUCAUUUAUAAAAAAGAGAGAGAGAGAAAUCUAUGGAUUCCUGGGUCAAAGCUGAUUGGCCCCUCCUACCGUAUUAGAGACUCGGAUGGAAGAUUAAAGUCGGUGCCUCCUAGUGCCUACCCCUGAAAAAAAAGAGAGCAGAUAAAAGCGCCUGGCAAAUUCAGAUGAGCCAGCUUCUUCUUUGAAACUUUCGGAACUAGUUUGGCCCCGUUUGGUUUGGUU